GUAUGUGUAUAUAUAUAGUGCUUAGAAAUAUUGCCAGAAGUUGUAAAAUUUUGUUUAUGCAGUAAUGUUACUUUUUGAAAAAUAGGAAUAUAGGAUUGUUAAUGUUUUCUUCAUUCUAGGAUGCUUGUCUGAUAAACUAAUUGACUCGAUAUGAUUAACUAUGGUGGAUAACAUAACAGAAGGAAAAAGAACAAGCACAAGGUGCAAAAACGAAAAUGGAAGAGAUGAAAGCGAAAAUUUACAACCUUCGAACACAGAAGACAAAACUUAAUGGCAGGCUUUCAGAGAUGCAAUCCACAAUUUCUUCACUUAAAGAUGAACAAAAAACUCUUGAAUUGGCCAUUCAGGAGAUGCAGAAUGAGGCUAAGAUAUUCAAAGAGAAAUAUGGUAAAGGUAGUCAUCAAAAUCCUCAAGCUAUAGCUCUGUCUGAAAUCUUACGACAAAAAGAAGCUGAAAUUGAGGAUUUGAAGCGCCAUCUCGAGUCCCCUGUCAAGGUAUGGUCAGUUAGCAGCAAUGAUCCAUCAAAUUCUUCGGUAAAUUUAACAGCUGGAACAAAUAUGUCAACAAGUGGUGAAGUGAAGGUCAAUGAUAUUCAAGAUGAUAAUGGAAAAAUGCAUGGAUCUAGCAACCAUGAAGAAAGACAAAAUUCAACAUAUGAUGCCUCGAAUCAUAGAGAUCAAGACGAGAAAAGAAUGGAAAAUGGGAUGUUUGUGGACGUCACAAGGGAAAGGACUGAAGAAGAUGAAUCUGAAACGAUAGAAGGUUCUCAAGAGAGCGGUUUUGGAUAUGGAAAAAUUGAUGUUGGCAAGAGAACUGACCCAAAAUAUGCCUCUAACAAUCAAAAUGAAGAAAAUAGUUUACAAAUGGGGGAGAAAAGGAAGGGUGAAAAUAAAAUUGAGACGACCAAUGAAGAGAAAAAGCCUAGAAAUGAAAAUAGAGAACUCCAUUCUACCGAUGGUAAAGAACUUGGAACAUUAGCAGACUUCGGUCCAGCCCUUUUUUAACUCUACUUCAUCGUCCAGCAUUCACAUGGCCGAUUGAUGAGAAAUGUCAGAAUUUUUGCUUAAGCCUUCAAAAAAGUUAGAAGCUACCCCGAAAUGUGUGACAUAUUUCGUGGGGAAAAUUUUGCCAUAGGCCAAAUUUACUUCCCCAAACCAAGGUUCAUUGCCUUUACCGUAGUGAUUACGGAUUAGUACAAGAAUAUUUGAGUACAAGGUUGAUGUCUUAGACUCGAUCUUAUCUUGUCUUUCGUUGCUUGCAUUUCCAUUCGUAUGGCAACUGAUUUGAUAAGCUACGUAUCUGGUACUCAUAGAACUGCCUUCAUUCCCCAAAAUUGGCUUACUUACGGCAUUCUUUCAAAUGUCCAACGACUUAUAACACUAGUCAUUACUCUCGAUAGGGUUAGGAAGUAAGCCUUACAUCUAAAAGCAACAAAAGAUAAAUAAAAUUUACUAUAAAUUCUGGCUAAAGGUAGUUCUCUCUAUUACUAAAUUUAUUUGUUUGUCUUAUAUAAACUAUCGAAUUUGAAUUUACGAUGAUCACUUUUCAACUAAUUGAUACAUGAACUAUUGUUAAGUCCACCAUUAAUCUUAAAAUUAAUUCUUUAAAUUAUAAAAUAUUUUUAUUGUAUGUUCAACAGUGCUGAAAGUUCCUAUUUUUUUUGAUAAACUAGUAAUAGUACUUUGAUCCAGUAGCAUGCAUUAAAAAUUGUAUAUAAAUGUGAAAGUCACCAGAUUCAACGCCGUUCACAGUUCCCAUGCAAUUUUUCAUCCUUGUUAACUCCGCAACCCACCGUCUUUAAUCUUUUACACGCAUUUAUGCGCCGGGAGAGAGAUACAGGUAGAAGGCCUGUUUGAGAUGACAAGCAACGUGAAAUCUGUGGAACAAGCUUCAUAAAUACUGUGCGUUUGUGUGUGUAUCUGAGAGAGAGAGAGAGAGAGAUGGGGGGAGUGAUGAAGGGACAUAGUGGCUAUAACAGCAAAACUCGGUCAUAUAUGUUGAUGCUGUUGCUGGCAUUUGGUGCUGCCAUUUUUGGAGUUAUGCUGCUUCAUAAGCUCAGAGAGAGACGCAUUUUCAAUCUCCUUGCAGAACAGAAGGACCAGAAAAUCUUUUCCCUUCAGCUUCUAUUACAGGUUCUCNNNNNNNNNNNNNNNNNNNNNNNNNNNNNNNNNNNNNNNNNNNNNNNNNNNNNNNNNNNNNNNNNNNNNNNNNNNNNNNNNNNNNNNNNNNNNNNNAUGUAUGAUGUAUGUGUAUAUAUAUAGUGCUUAGAAAUAUUGCCAGAAGUUGUAAAAUUUUGUUUAUGCAGUAAUGUUACUUUUUGAAAAAUAGGAAUAUAGGAUUGUUAAUGUUUUCUUCAUUCUAGGAUGCUUGUCUGAUAAACUAAUUGACUCGAUAUGAUUAACUAUGGUGGAUAACAUAACAGAAGGAAAAAGAACAAGCACAAGGUGCAAAAACGAAAAUGGAAGAGAUGAAAGCGAAAAUUUACAACCUUCGAACACAGAAGACAAAACUUAAUGGCAGGCUUUCAGAGAUGCAAUCCACAAUUUCUUCACUUAAAGAUGAACAAAAGGCUCUUGAAUUGGCCAUUCAGGAGAUGCAGAAUGAGGCUAAGAUAUUCAAAGAGAAAUAUGGU
rnacentral:lncRNA from 1 species